rnacentral:rRNA from 1 species
UACGUAGGGCGCAAGCGUUGUCCGGAAUUAUUGGGCGUAAAGAGCUCGUAGGCGGUUUGUCGCGUCUGCUGUGAAAACCUAAGGCUCAACCUUGGGCUUGCAGUGGGUACGGGCAGACUAGAGUGCGGUAGGGGUGACUGGAAUUCCUGGUGUAGCGGUGGAAUGCGCAGAUAUCAGGAGGAACACCGAUGGCGAAGGCAGGUCACUGGGCCGCAACUGACGCUGAGGCGCGAAAGCUGGGGGAGCAAACAGG